GGCCCUGUUUGGGAAUUAGCUGUUAGCGGUUAGCUGAUAGCGGAUUCAUUAGCUGUUUUGACUAGCGGAUUUAAUUAGCUGUUUUGACUAGCGGAUUUAGAUUAGCUGUUUUGUCUAAAUCUGUUUGGUAGUUAGCUGUUUGAACUAACUGUUUGUAUUUUUUUAGACACAAUCACAAACCUCUAAUCCAAAAAGCUCCUCCACUUAGCUUUUUGAAAAUUAGCUUAUUGAGCUCAAACCGCUAUUACAAUCCGCUAACAACCAAACACCCAAAUUAGAUGAUUCUUUUGGUCAAACCUCUAAUUUAGCCCAAACCUCUAAUUUUUGCUCAAUCCUCUAACUUCCAAACAGGGCCAUUACAUUUUCUAAUAUCUAUGUAUCUAUGUAUAUUAUAAAUCCUGAACAGUGCCACGUCAUCAAUGCCACAUAUUUCAAAAAAAAGUCCACCUCAAUGCCACAUAUUUUAGAUUUUGCCAUGUCA
rnacentral:lncRNA from 1 species